CCCCCCCCCCCCCCCCCCCCCCCCCCCCCCCCCCCCCCCCCCCCCCCCCCCCCCCCCCCCCCCCCCGCCCGCAGGCCGCGCACCGCACCGCACCGCGCCGCGCCGCGCGGGCGGGGCUCCGGGGAAAUCGCGGGCAAAACGCCGGGAUUGGAGAGUGUGGAGUGUUCCAGAGGCCUGUGGUCGUGGCUGCCUUCUCAGGGCUGUCAUUUGCACGAGGUCAGGAUAAUUUGGGAAACCUUCCUGGUAUUUAAUUGAUGUGCUGACCUGUCUCAACGAGCCUAUUUCAGAUUGCAGGAAGAUGGAUUCUCCAGCCAGUUCCGCCACCACAGGCUGCGGAUCCCGAGCCCAUUGAACCCUCCAGGACCUGGACACUGGACCUGCCGUCCUGCCUUCUCCCUUAUCUCGGUGCUUGGCAGGUGCCAUGGAUUUCACACUUCCACUGACCUCUGAGCGCUGCCAAAGCCAGGGAGGCACAUCGGGCAGAUAACGUGUCCCCAGUGUCCCCAUUCCACCUCUGCCUUCCCGAGUCCCUUAGGCUCUGGGGAGAGUUACUUAAAAAUAUGCCAGAUUUAAGGUCUGUCUGAAGUCAAAUAAAAAUUCUGCAUUGUUUAAAUCACAUUUCCG
rnacentral:lncRNA from 12 species